rnacentral:rRNA from 1 species
CGUUCCCGGGCCUUGUACACACCGCCCGUCACACCAUGGGAGUUGGUUUUACCCGAAGCCGGUGGGCUAACCGCAAGGAGGCAGCCGACCACGGUAAGGUCAGCGACUGGGGUG